rnacentral:rRNA from 1 species
UACGUAGGGUGCGAGCGUUGUCCGGAAUUAUUGGGCGUAAAGAGCUUGUAGGCGGUUUGUCGCGUCUGCUGUGAAAUCUCAAGGCUCAACCUUGGGCUUGCAGUGGGUACGGGCAGACUAGAGUGUGGUAGGGGAGACUGGAAUUCCUGGUGUAGCGGUGAAAUGCGCAGAUAUCAGGAAGAACACCCGUGGCGAAGGCGGCUCUCUGGGACGGUACUGACGCUGAGACGCGAAAGCGUGGGGAGCGAACAGG